rnacentral:rRNA from 1 species
GCGCACGGGUGCGUAACGCGUGGGAACCUGCCUUUAGGUUUGGAAUAACAGUUAGAAAUGACUGCUAAUACCAAAUAAUGUCUUCGGACCAAAGAUUUAUCGCCUUUAGAUGGGCCCGCGUUGGAUUAGCUAGUUGGUGGGGUAAAAGCUCACCAAGGCGACGAUCCAUAGCUGGUCUGAGAGGAUGAUCAGCCACACUGGGACUGAGACACGGCCCAGACUCCUACGGGAGGCAGCAGUGGGGAAUAUUGGACAAUGGGCGAAAGCCUGAUCCAGCAAUGCCGCGUGAGUGAUGAAGGCCUUAGGGUUGUAAAGCUCUUUUACCAGGGAUGAUAAUGACAGUACCUGGAGAAUAAGCUCCGGCUAACUCCGUGCCAGCAGCCGCGGUAAUACGGAGGGAGCUAGCGUUGUUCGGAAUUACUGGGCGUAAAGCGCACGUAGGCGGCUUUUUAAGUCAGAGGUGAAAUCCCGGGGCUCAACCCCGGAACUGCCUUUGAAACUGGAAAGCUAGAAUCUUGGAGAGGCGAGUGGAAUUCCGAGUGUAGAGGUGAAAUUCGUAGAUAUUCGGAAGAACACCAGUGGCGAAGGCGACUCGCUGG